rnacentral:rRNA from 1 species
UACGAAGGGGGCUAGCGUUGCUCGGAUUUACUGGGCGUAAAGCGCACGUAGGCGGCUCUCUAAGUCGGGGGUGAAAUCCUGGAGCUCAACUCCAGAACUGCCUUCGAUACUGGAGAGCUCGAGUCCGGGAGAGGUGAGUGGAACUCCUAGUGUAGAGGUGAAAUUCGUAGAUAUUAGGAAGAACACCAGUGGCGAAGGCGGCUCACUGGCCCGGUACUGACGCUGAUGUGCGAAAGCGUGGGGAGCAAACAGG